rnacentral:rRNA from 1 species
GUAGGUGGCAAGCGUUGUCCGGAAUUAUUGGGCGUAAAGCGCGCGCAGGCGGUUCUUUAAGUCUGAUGUGAAAGCCCACGGGCCCAACCGUGGAGGGUCAUUGGAAACUGGAGAACUUGAGUACAGAAGAGGAAAGCGGAAUUCCACGUGUAGCGGUGAAAUGCGUAGAGAUGUGGAGGAACACCAGUGGCGAAGGCGGCUUUCUGGUCUGUAACUGACGCCGAGGCGCGAAAGCGUGGGGAGCAAACAGGAUUAGAUACCCUGGUAGUCCACGCCGUAAACGAUGAGUGCUAAGUGUUAGGGGGUUUCCGCCCCUUAGUGCUGCAGCUAACGCAUUAAGCACUCCGCCUGGGGAGUACGGCCGCAAAGGCUGA